rnacentral:ncRNA from 1 species
GCGGAUAGGUGUCCGCAGGGAUGUGGCCGAGAAGGCUGAACCAUAAA